AUUGCACGGUCUGCCUUUUUUUUUUAAUUUCUUCUUUAGGGGUUUCUUUCUCCCUAUCUCCCCUUCUUAUUUCUGUCUUUCUGGUCCAGUGAACACUGCAUAUAGUACUUUCUGUCUUAAUGUGCUGGCAUGAUGCUAGACUAGGCAUGGCAGUAAUUGAUGACGCAUGUGAUAAUGCUGCAGAGGGAGAGUUCAUAUCUGAUAAUGUGCUGAACGUCCAGUCUUAUAUUUUAACAUAAGAUUAAAAUGCCAAGCCCACUUUGCUAAUUAAAGUCCACCAAGGCUUGUGCCUUGUUCUGUAUCAGAGAUUAUCAUCAGGCAGAAUUUCAUAAUGAAAUUCAUAGGCAAGAUACAUGGUUUGUACUUAAAUAAUUUAGUUUUCCAUUUUACUAUGACAAUAUUUCUUUGCAUCAGUUUUAAGGACAAACCCCCCCAGUUGUUACAGCUUCCCAGUCCCAUAUCCUGUGAUGUCACAGAUGUGCUGUUUCUAUUGAGCACUUUGACUUGUCAGUAUCAGGAAGUUUAAUUAGCCUGAAACUGUAGCCUGUUUCAUUUGUAAUGUACUUAAUGAAUAUUUCUUCUAAAGCAUUUAUAUUUAGCCCUUUUACAUUCUGUGUAGGUCCACAUUAUAAUUUUAAGCCAUUCCUAUGACAUGAGACUAAUGAUACUAUUUCCUCACAGUGCCCAGGAGUUUUUUUCCUUGGACAUGUUGUAUUCGUAAGCAAAGCACUGUGACAAGACAGUCUGCUUGUGUAAUCAUUGCCGAGUAAUCUCACAAUAUCUUGAGAGGUGCUGACUGUUUUGCUACAGCAUGCAACUCAAAAGUGGCUGGGAAUACACAGCUUUGGGAGUCUACAGAUCAUUGCAGGAGCUAAAGUGUAGUCAUUUCAAUACAUAAGCAAGGUAAUCUGCAGGAACUGAUGACUGUGGAGGUCUGCACAGGUUUGUGUCAAGAAUAUGCCUAUAUGAAGGGCUAUUAUGGGUAUGGAAUUAAGGCUAUUUGUUUCAUAAUAGAGCAUAUUUGAUACAAAUCAGCAAAAUGAAAUGAGAUUCAAAGAUUUUAAUGAAUUAUACAUUAACCAAACUUCUGAAGUCUGGAUUUGUUAGUGAGAUGAUACGGUUAUUCAGUUUUAGUAGGCAAAUGUUAAAAACAAAAUUCAUAAAGUACAAAAUUCAUAAAAAAAAAGAAUCAGAAAUUACUUGAUAAUGUUUGCUAUAAAGUUUUAUUUUCCUUCAUUUCAGCUAAUAAAAUACUUUUGGUCAAGAGUAAAAUAUUUUCUAAAAAAAUUACAUUAGAAUUGGCAAGUAUCUGGAUUAUAGUGAAAGAACAGAAUACAAGUUUUUUUUCUUACCACAAACAACUUUUUUAGUUUCAACUUUAAAAGUUGUUUUAGCUAUGCGAUUUUUGACGUUCAAGCCACAAUUAUGACCUCCAUACAUUUAAAAUAUUGGGAAAACGAAGUGUAAUCUAAAGCUAUAGCCCAAUCUUAGAUUCUGUUGUAAUUACAAGAAUCGGUUAGUACAACUUAGGAUAUAUGAUUUUUAUGACCUUAUCCAUGUUUGAAGAUGAUAAAUCAGAUGGGAUAAUGAAGGUGGACAAAAGAAAAAAAUGCCUGCAUCAUAGACUUGAAAAAAAUGCUGUGUUUAGUACAAUUGAAAGUACAACUUUCCACCAGAUAAGUUGCUUUUUUUAUUGUAACUGACUGAUAAAAAUCCUGACUUUAGGAGUUGGUAGGUUUAGUGGGUUUAAAAAAAGUUAGUGUUAAGUUUUCCAAAUAUCUAGUUGCCAAUGUUUAGUUUACUUAUGUAGGGAUUUAGUAGUACAUAUAUAACUGGAGUUUUGUUAUGUUGCAUAUCUGUGUAGAUCUGUGGACUCCACUAGUUCCAAAAUGUAACUCUGUGAGACUGCUAAUUUGACUCUUAGCAGUGACCUUAUGUGGACUGCACAAUAAACAGUAUGCUU